GACGAACGCUGGCGGUGUGCUUAACACAUGCAAGUGGUGCGACGAACCAGAGCUUGCUCUGGGGCAAAGCCGCGAACGGGUGAGUAACACGUGGGUAAUCUACCCCGAUGACCGGGACAACCCGAGGAAACUCGGGCUAAUACCGGAUGUGGUACGGAGACAUAAGUCUCUUUACUAAAGGUAGCUUCGGCUUCCGCAUUGGGAGGGGCCCGCGGCCCAUUAGCUAGUUGGUGGGGUCAAGGCCUACCAAGGCAACGAUGGUAGCUGGUCUGAGAGGACGAUCGGCCACACUGGGACUGAGACACGGCCCAGACUCCUACGGGAGGCAGCAGUGGGGAAUCUUGCGCAAUGCGCGAAAGCGUGACGCAGCAACACCGCGUGAGGGAAGACGGCCUUAGGGUUGUAAACCUCUUUCAGAUGGGACGAAGGUGAUGCGGUGAAUAGCCGAUGUCAUUGACGGUACCGUCAGAAGAAGCUCCGGCUAACUACGUGCCAGCAGCC
rnacentral:rRNA from 1 species